GACGAACGCUGGCGGCGUGCUUAACACAUGCAAGUCGAGCGGAGCGGCGAACGGGUGAGUAACGCGUGAGUAACUGCCCCCCUCUCUGGGGUAACAGUUGGAAACGGCUGCUAAUACCGGAUAGUUGGGGAUGGCUCGCGGCCUAUCAGCUUGUUGGUGGGGUGAUGGCCUACCAAGGCGGGGAGGGGUAGCCGGCCUGGGAGGGUGGUCGGCCACAUUGGGCGGAGAUACGGCCCAGACUCCUAGGGGAGGGAGAAGUGGGGGAUAUGGCACAAGGGGCGCAAGCCUGAGGCAGGGACGCCGAGUGAGGGAUGAAGGCUUUCGGGUUGUAAACCUAUUACGGUACAGAACGGGUAUGUGCAGAAGAAGCGCCGGCUAACUACGUGCCAGCAGCCGCGGUAAUAC
rnacentral:rRNA from 1 species